rnacentral:rRNA from 1 species
CAGGGAUUGCCCUAGUAACGGCGAGUGAAGCGGCAACAGCUUCAAAUUUUGAAAUCUGGCUUCGGCCCGAGUUGUAAUUUGCAGAGGAAGCUUUAGGCGCGGCACCAACUGAGUCCCCUGGAACGGGGCGCCACAGAGGGUGAGAGCCCCGUAUAGUUGGACGCCUAGCCUGUGUAAAGCUCCUUCGACGAGUCGAGUAGUUUGGGAAUGCUGCUCAAAAUGGGAGGUAAAUUUCUUCUAAAGCUAAAUACCGGCCAGAGACCGAUAGCGCACAAGUAGAGUGAUCGAAAGAUGAAAAGCACUUUGAAAAGAGGGUUAAAUAGCACGUGAAAUUGUUGAAAGGGAAGCGCUUGUGACCAGACUUGCGCCCGGCUGAUCAUCCGGUGUUCUCACCGGUGCACUCUGCCGGGCUCAGGCCAGCAUCGGUUCUCGCGGGGGGAUAAAGGCCCUGGGAACGUAGCUCCUCCGGGAGUGUUAUAGCCCAGGGUGUAAUGCCCUCGCGGGGACCGAGGUUCGCGCAUCUGCAAGGAUGCUGGCGUAAUG